CUGAAAUCGUAAGCUACGAGCACUGUCUGCAAUAAUUUCCCUAGAAAUGUUCAAUAGAUUUGAAAAAAUAAACACGAUUUUAGUACAAUCACGGAAGCAAAAGUUAACCUUAAACUACGUAUUUGAACGCACAGAAAAAAAUAUUAGACUAUACACAAAGCCCAUAUGAAAAACAUAUUUGUCUAGUUACAAUGUGUUUAAACAUUGAUCUAGGAUUUACAUAACUAACCAGGGAGGGAGAAUGAUUACCGAAAAAUAGAAGAGAAAACUCUGAUUGUGGAAGAAACGGAAGGGAGAUGCAGGCAACCGAAAUUCUAACAAAUCAUAUAUUGACACGUUCUGAGCGCAUGGAUUGAGAGAUUGCUUCGGCAUGCAGAAUACCAUUGCUGGGAUAUAUAAUCUAAUUAUUAUUAUUUUUUUCACGCUUCAACUUUUGCAGCUAUGGGCAUCCUGUCAAAUGGAAAUUACGCGGCCACAAAUACUUAAAGAUCACUUUUCAUAUUCCAAGGCUGAAGUUUAUUUGUGCAGUUUUCAGGUACGUAUAUAACAACUCCAAGCCCUAAUUCAAUUUCAAACCCUUAUUUCAUUCCUCCCACCCUCGCUCCCACUCCCAAACUCACUCUCCGGUCUCUGCCUCUCAUCUCUUCCUCUCUAUCAAACGUUGCCACCACCGCCGAAGCACCCACCGUCAGACACCAACACCGUCUCCACCACGCGAUGCUAUUGUGAUGAAGAGAUCAGAGAUGGCGAUGCUGCUGCAAUUUGUGGUGCUGCUGGGAUCUAAAAUCUUUUCCGAUCGAAGAUGGCGCUGCUCCUGUGAAAUCUGAGCACCGACAAGGUAAGCGUCGGUGCCGCGACAGGCUUCGGUGCCACGGUUGCUGCGAAGUCGUUACAGCAUCGAUCUGAGGCGUUGAUGGUGGUCGACGAUGUCGACUCGAUCUGGUCGUUGAAGGUAGACAACAUGUUAUAGUUUUGGGGCUUUUUUUGGUGGUUUGAAAUGGUAUUUUUGAGGCGAUUUUUUCGAUGUUUCUCGGUGGUUUUAUGGUGGUGCUAACGGGUUUUGUGGAGUUUUUGUCUGACUUUCGAUCUGGAGCUUCGAGGUCGUGGUUGAAGGUGUGGAAAUGUAAUGUUGUGGUGCAGUAUUGUUGGUGGUUGUGGUUUGGUGAAGGAGGUUAUAAUGUUGAAUUUGUGUUGUUAUUGUUAGUGGAGGUUAUGUUGGUGGCCUUGGCGACGGCCGCGACGGUGGUUAUGGUGGUGCAAGUUGGUGGUUUGGCGUGCGGCAGUGGUGAUGCAAGUUGGUGAUUUGGGUUGAUUGCUGGUGUGAUUUUUUUGGUUAGCGAUGGUCUGUGACCUUAAAAUUUAAUAAUCUAUAACCUCAAGGAUUUGAUCUGUGAGCUUAAAAUUUGAUAAUCUAUUAUUGAAAAAUAAUCUAUGACCUAUAAAUUUUUUGAUUUGUGACGUCAAAAUAAUCCGUUAUCAAAAUUUUUUAUUUGUGAUCUCGAAAUAAUAUGUGAUCAAUUAAUUUGAUAAUAUGUGAUCAUUAAAUAAAUUCGUGACCUAUAAUUUUGUAUCCAUGAGGAUCUUAACCAUUAAUCGUG
rnacentral:lncRNA from 1 species